CGGCGGACGGGUGAGUAACGCGUGGGUAACCUGCCCCAUACAGGGGGAUAACAGUUAGAAAUGACUGCUAAUACCGCAUAAGACCACAGCACCGCAUGGUGCGGGGGUAAAAACUCCGGUGGUAUGAGAUGGGCCCGCGUCUGAUUAGCUAGUUGGUAAGGUAACGGCUUACCAAGGCGACGAUCAGUAGCCGACCUGAGAGGGUGACCGGCCACAUUGGGACUGAGACACGGCCCAA
rnacentral:rRNA from 1 species